UACAGAGGGUGCAAGCGUUAAUCGGAAUUACUGGGCGUAAAGCGUGCGCAGGCGGUGAUGUAAGACAGAUGUGAAAUCCCCGGGCUCAACUUGGGAACUGCAUUUGUGACUGCAUCGCUGGAGUGCGGCAGAGGGGGAUGGAAUUCCGCGUGUAGCAGUGAAAUGCGUAGAGAUCGGGAGGAACACCAGAGGCGAAGGCGGCGACCUGGACAGUUACUGACACUCAACUACGAAAGCGUGGGGAGCAAACAGG
rnacentral:rRNA from 1 species